rnacentral:rRNA from 1 species
UCCUUCUUUUUCAAUCGUUGUCCGGAAUCAUUGGGCGUAAAGAGCGCGUAGGCGGUCCGGUAAGUCCGCUCUGAAAGCCCGGGGCUCAACCCCGGGAGGCGGGCGGAUACUGUCGGGCUAGAGUCCGGAAGAGGCGAGUGGAAUUCCUGGUGUAGCGGUGAAAUGCGCAGAUAUCAGGAGGAACACCGAUGGCGAAGGCAGCUCGCUGGGACGGUACUGACGCUGAGGCGCGAAAGCGUGGGGAGCAAACAGG